UACGGAGGGAGCUAGCGUUGUUCGGAAUUACUGGGCGUAAAGCGCGCGUAGGCGGCUUUGUAAGUUAGAGGUGAAAGCCCGGGGCUCAACUCCGGAACUGCCUUUAAGACUGCAUCGCUUGAAUCCGGGAGAGGUGAGUGGAAUUCCGAGUGUAGAGGUGAAAUUCGUAGAUAUUCGGAAGAACACCAGUGGCGAAGGCGGCUCACUGGACCGGUAUUGACGCUGAGGUGCGAAAGCGUGGGAGCAAACAGG
rnacentral:rRNA from 1 species